UCCCGUUGCUUUCUUGGCUGGUUCUGAGGCUGCUGCCAUUUCUGGCCAAGUCUGCUUUCUCAACAGCAGCGGCGUUGCAGAGGGGCUCGGACCCACUGAUAAAAGCUCCUGUUCCAGCGGGUGCUUGGCUGAUGCCCUUUGAUGAUGUCACAGCCACAGAUCCUGAUGGCAGCCGUGAUGAAGUUGCAGUCAUCUAGAAAUCAUUUCAAGGUCAUCCAAAUGCCUGAGACCCCGCGGACGCAGACUCCUGAGAAUCGUCUCCAUCCUUGAAGGACAAGGUUCCAUCCCUGCAUCUCCAGCACCAGCACAGGGCCUGGCACGAGGCAGAGCUCAAAGCAGGGAGUGUCUGUUGACGGCCCAGGUGAGGUCAGACAGGAGCCGGCCCACUGGCCUGUAGGACGUCCCACAGAAUGGGGGAAGCCUUUUGUCAUAGCUUCUGACCUGUUCCCAUCAUCUCUGAGCACUUCCUGGAUUCAUGGUACAAAGCGACUGUCUGGACUCUUCAAAAAAGUCAACAUUAUACG